CUCGCCUGCCGCCAUGUAAACGUUCUUUGCUCCUGCUUCGUCUUCUGCCGUGAUUGUGAGGCCUCCCCAGCCAUGUGGAACUACUCAUCACUCACUGCAGAUGUUACUUUAAGACAUUCUGGAGCAGCGUCAUGUGCAGGUGCGUAGUGCCUCCGCCCAUCUCUCUCUUGCUCCUGGUCUCAUCGUGACGGGCCUGGUCCUGCCUCACUUUAUGCCACGACUAAGAGCUCCCUGAGGCCUCUCCAGAAGCAGAUAUCACUAUGCUUCCUACACAGCCUGCAGAACCGAACAAUAAGGAAGUGAGUGCUUUUGUAAUUCCUGAACAACUGUGUCUUACACUUACUAAGAAGUGCCUUUCACCUCCUGCCAUGAUUCUGAGGCCUCCUCAGCCAUGUGGAACUUUCUCUUGCCUGCCACCAUGUAAGAUAUGCUUUUACUCUUCCGCCUUCCACCGUGACUGUGAGGCCUCCCCAGCCAUGUGAAACUGCCUUUGAGCUUAUACUGAAUUAUACCACCAGCUUUCCUAGGUCUUGAAGCUUACAGACAGCAGAUCUUGGGACUUCUCAGGCACCAUAAUCAAUCAUAGAUAAAUGAUCCAAUGAUUCGGAACUUGAAAAGUGGUAGCUUUAUGAAUUCUCCUUAAGAAGAAACCUGUGCCCUGAUCUUGCCUACUCACCCAAAGGCACUGUGAGAUAGCAUCAAAGGAACAGCUAGUAAGAGACACAGAGCCAGAAAUCAGGGAAGUAAAAUACACUUGACAUCUACGUUCGGAAAGAAAUUUUAGGAGGCAGAAGCAAAUGGAUCAGAAGCUGCUUAUAUUUUUGCAAGAUUACCAAAGAAACCAUUGGUGGAGAAAGUUCUGUGACCAACUUGUCUGAGUCUAGUAAGAUUGAACGCUCACACACAAGUUUCAUGAAGUGGGUUUGAUACUUACAGAUAAGCAGCAAGGACCAACAGAAGCUGAUGAUCUAUGGUGAACUUUUUCCCAAGGCUCCGGAAAGCUGCCUAAAGUAGAUGGAGUCUUCUCUGUGUGUGCCCCACUGGUCCUGCAGUUGAAGGAUCCGGUAAAGCAGCCUGCCCUUGGUUUUAUACUCCAGAGGAACGUGAUUCGCUGGACUAAAGCAUUGAAGUGCAUCCUGUUUCCGGGGGGCACUGGAACAGAGCCUGGUCUGUUCUAGCCAGUCCCUUUCUAUCUCAGGAUAACAUUCUACAGUUAUUCUUGAGAACUAUAAUCAAAUAAGCAGGGAGAACUGGAGGCUCAUUGUGGAACCCUCAAGGAGCAUGGGGUCGUCUUCAUCCCUCAGUUUAUAAAUGGCCAAGGAGAGUAAUGCAACAAAAACUUCUCAGAGUUAAAAGCCAGAGUUCCUAAAGAACCGUGGACAAAGGGUUCUGUCUAGUGGGCAGAAUUCAUCCAGCGAAGGUGCUUACUGCACUCCCAGCAUGUGCUUGGGAACUUUAUUAAAAUUCCUUCCUAUUGAGAUUUAAAUUGCUGUCCAGAAUUAUACAAUAUAAUGAAUGGGGGCAUUCAUUAUGUGUAUUCUAUGCCUUCUCCAUCAUUGCAUAUUCAGUCCUCGUGCUAGAGAGAGGCAGAUAAUCUACCUUUUAAAUUGAUAGGUCUCCUAACUACAGAGGGUCACAUCUGGAUCUGAUGGCACCUACAGAACUUGGACUCUGAGCGACAAUCAGUGACCAGGAAAUUUGGAACCCAGGUUUUCCCAACCUACAUCUACAAAAUGGAAUGGGUCUGAUUCGCAAGUUUUCAGAGAAAGAAGCCAACCUUAAUCAGACUGUGAUAUGAUGAGGAAAUAAAACUUGCUGUGCUAAUCAACUGAUACUGGGAAGCAUGUUUAUUAUAAUAACAUAGUCUAUGCUUAACUUUUCUAAGAAACUAAUGAUCUGGAAUAUCGAUAAAAAGAAAAAAGAAAGAAAGCAAAA
ensembl:lncRNA LINC02241 long intergenic non-protein coding RNA 2241